AACGCAUAUUGCGCCCUUUGGUAUUCCGAAGGGCAUGCCUGUUCGAGCGUCAUUAUCAACCCUCAAGCUUUUUGCUUGUUGUUGGAUAUGUUAUUCUUCAGAAUAACCGUCCCAAAGACAAUGGCAGUGUCAGUUUGACCCUCAAUGCAACGAGCUUUCCAUAAGCACGCAUUUGAAGUGGUUGAUUGAUACUUUGACCUUUUCAAAUUUUUCUUAAGGUUGACCUCGGAUCAGGUAGGAAUACCCGCUGAACUUAA
rnacentral:misc_RNA from 1 species